UGGGGGAUAUUGCACAAUGGGCGAAAGCCUGAUGCAGCGACGCCGCGUGGGGGAUGAAGGCCUUCGGGUUGUAAACUUCUUUUGCUCUGAACAAGGUGCACCGUGGGGUGUGUUGAGUGUAGGGGUUGAUUAGCGCCGGCUAACUACGUGCCAGCAGCCGCGGUAAUACGUAGGGCGCGAGCGUUGUCCGGAAUUAUUGGGCGUAAAGGGCUUGUAGGUGGCUGGUUGCGUCUGUCGUGAAAGCUCAUGGCUUAACUGUGGGUUUGCGGUGGGUACGGGCUGGCUUGAGUGCAGUAGGGGAGGCUGGAAUUCCUGGUGUAGCGGUGGAAUGCGCAGAUAUCAGGAGGAAUACCGGUGGCGAAGGCGGGUCUCUGGGCUGUUACUGACACUGAGGAGCGAAAGCAUGGGGAGCGAACAGG
rnacentral:rRNA from 2 species